GAUGAACGCUGGCGGCGUGCCUAAUACAUGCAAGUCGAGCGAACGGACGAGAAGCUUGCGUCUCUGAUGUUAGCGGCGGACGGGUGUGUAACACGUGGAUAACCUACCUAUAAGACUGGGAUAACUUCGGGAAACCGGAGCUAAUACCGGAUAAUAUUUUGAACCGCAGGGUGCAAAAGUGAAAGACGGUCUUGCUGUCACUAAUAGAUGGAUCCGCGCUGCAUUAGCUAGUUGGUAAGGUAACGGCUUACCAAGGCAACGAUGCAUAGCCGACCUGAGAGGCUGUUCGCCCGCCCUGGAGCUGGACCACGGUCCUUACUCCUACGGGAGGCAGCAGUAUGGAAUCUUCCGCAGUGGGCGAAGGCCUGACGGAGCAACGCCGCGUGAGCGAUGAAGGUCUUCGGAUCGUAAAACUCUGUUAUUAGGUAAGAACAUAUGUGUAAGUAACUGUGCACAUCUUGACGGUACCUAAUCAGAAAGCCACGGCUAACUACGUG
rnacentral:rRNA from 1 species